ACCCCAUGAUAUAAGCCGGCAUGAAGAAUAUUCCCCAGUUCUUUAUGUGACUAUGAUUGGGAACACGAAACUUACCGAUGUGUGUAUGUUUUGUGCGCAAAUCAGCAAACUAAACAAAGAGUUAUUCGGUGUACA